AAUAAGUGUAGUUUUACACUAUUUACGUUCAACGUUUGAUCGUUCGUCUUAUUUGAAAAAAAUUUUAUGAUUAGUAUUUUUAUUGCUAUUAGAUGAUAAAACAUGAAUAGUACUUUAUGUGUGACUAAAUAUUUUUAAUUUUUUCACAAUUUUUUUAAAUAGGACGGACGGUCAAACGUUGGGUAUGGAUAUCCACAGCUACAUAUUUU
rfam:Oryza sativa Japonica Group DNA, chromosome 6, cultivar: Nipponbare, complete sequence.